rnacentral:rRNA from 1 species
UACGUAGGGUGCAAGCGUUAUCCGGAAUCACUGGGCGUAAAGCGUCCGCAGCCGGCUCGUUAAGUGAGAUGUUAAAUCGUGUGGCUCAACCAUAUCGAUGCAUUUCAUACUGGCGGGCUAGAGGAAAUCAGAGGCAAGUAGAAUUGGUAGUGUAGCAGUGAAAUGCGUAGAUAUUACCAGGAACACCAAUGGCGAAGGCAGCUUGCUGGGAUUUUUCUGACGGUCAGGGACGAAAGCGUGGGGAGCGAACAGG